rnacentral:tRNA from 1 species
GGUCCAAUAGUGUAGAGGUUAACAUGCACGAUGGCUUGAUGAUAGACCUCCGUGAGAUCCAGGUUCAGUCCUGGUUGGACCG